AGGCUGGAUAAAGGAUGGAUGAAAAGGCUGGAUGGAGGAUGGAUAAAGGAUGGAUGAAAAGGCUGGAUGGAGGAUGGAUAAAGGAUGGAUAAAGGCUGGGGAUCUUCAGCCCAUUGGAACCCAUCUGAGAACCCAAGAGCCCAGAGAUGUUUGGUGGCAGCCCCUUGCUGAGACUGCCCAGGAACCAGGAGACAGUGACAGGAAACAAUUUGCUGGAGAGACAAUUAUGCCAUGAAUAUGUAAAAUUCUCCACAGACCCCUGGGGGAUGUCCUAUAUCAUAAUAAGCAAAAAAACUUUGAUUAAAGUGUGAAAGCCUCACCUCUCUAGUGAUGUUUCAGGGGUUCUCUCUGCACUGGCUCUCCUGGCCCUGAAGGGAAGGCAGUUUGGAUGUUGGUUUGGCAGAGGCUGAAGGUUCAGCACAGCUGCAGCCACAACUUGGUGCUGGAGCCAAUGCUGGUCAUGGCAGGGCCAUCAGUGCUCUACAAAUAUGGCUCUGGGAAAGUUUUCUUCUUAAUCAUCUCAGUAUCUACUAAAAUGA